GUCAAACAGAGAGACUACAGUAUUUGAAGCAUUUCUGAAAACUCGAAAUCUCUUACGCAAGAAAGCCAUGCUCGAAAAGAUUAUUGAUUGAGGAACGUGGAAGAGUUCAUGCGUUGAAUAUCUAGAGCAUUUGUAUUUGGUGAAAUGCGAUCCCCUUUCUCUUUAUGACACUUUUUUUUUACUAUCAUUGAUUAACUUUCUUUGUUUGCUACAUUUGAAAUGAAUAAAUGUGAGGUAUCCUUUUGUCCCUACUUGACCAUAUUCAUGCAUCUUAUUAUGUGGUUCAUUUACAUGAUAAAUAGUGAAAUGACAUACUCUAAACAAAAAAAGUGCUAAGCAUUACCC
rnacentral:lncRNA from 1 species